AUCCUUCAAUUCCAUUUACUAUUGGAUCUGAAUACAGGUCUUUGUGGUCAUUAAUGGAGGAACAGUAAUACUGAAACUAGCUUCACAGUCUCAGAGUCAAUCAUGAGCACAUGGCUAGUUUCAAACAAGG